UACGUAGGGAGCAAGCGUUGUCCGGAAUCACUGGGCGUAAAGGGUGCGUAGGCGGGUCUUUAAGUCAGGGGUGAAAACCUGGAGCUCAACUCCAGAACUGCCUUUGAUACUGAAGAUCUUGAGUUCGGGAGAGGUGAGUGGAACUGCGAGUGUAGAGGUGAAAUUCGUAGAUAUUCGCAAGAACACCAGUGGCGAAGGCGGCUCACUGGCCCGAUACUGACGCUGAGGCACGAAAGCGUGGGGAGCAAACAGG
rnacentral:rRNA from 1 species